UCUUGGCUGCCCCCACCCCCACCCCCACCCCGGGGUUGCCACAGCUGGUCGGUGCACGGGGCUAAGGGCUGCCCCGGCUCCUCUGGCGCCCAAACCAAGAGCGAGAGCGCGGGCGGCCGGGCGCGAAGGCUGGGACCGGCAGGUUGCUGGGGCUGCUCUGCGCCUGCCCUCCGCCCGGGGCCCCGGCGCGAGAGGCAGCUGCGCGCUCCCUCCCGGAGCGCUGGAGACAGAUAUGCAAGAUGGCAGAGGAGGGGGAAAGCCAAUAGAAAAGGGAUAUUGCACCUACUUGUGGCCAGUUUCCUUGCCCUGCCUUUGGAUCUCAUGCUGUGCCCAGUCCUGCAGCCGCUGGAAAUUUUCUAUACAUCCACGGAGAAAACAAGAAGUGGGGCUUUUAAAACCUUUUUCCAUAUUAAAGAACUAGAAGGACAGGACUCUUAAAUGAUCCAGGAGAAAGUGAGAAUCAUCCUGAACUUCAGGAAAUCUGCUGCCGCCGCUCUUACUGCUACUGAAGCUAUUUCGGCUUGUGCUUUCGGAGUUGAAAGUACAAGUAACUGUUUUCUUUCUCGAUGUUAAGUAUACUACCAAUACUUGCCAUUCUUGGAACAUUUCAGUGGUCUAUUCCCAUCAAGUAGUAAUGAUCACCUUUGAUUCCCAGGUCCGGGCAGGCUCGGGCAUUUAACAUCCAAGACCUCCUGCUUCCCUAAGGUCGGCCGUCACCUUCCGGCCUCCCCCACCGCUGCCCCCAUCUCCGGUUGCCCCAGCUCUGCCUGCCUGCCAUUUUCACUCACUUGCUUAAACCCACAACCUUUAGGGUCAUAAGAAAGGGGGGGGGGGGGGUCCUUUCCCACCCUUAAAAAAAAUAAAUUGUUGGAAUUUGCUUUAAUUACAGGAUUUACCAAUGAAGUGGGCACAUAGAAAUGGGGAAAUCCUAAAGGGGCCAGCUGUGUUCAAAGUAUGAAUCAAUCUCAACUACGUAUAGAUUUUCUCUUGGUACAACUGCCUUGCAUUAAACAGUUUUGUUCAAUACCUUCCAUGAGCUAUUUAUGUCCCCAUUAAUAUCUGUUGCAAAUCCUGCCAGACACUGUAAAAGAAAAUUACAAUCUUUUCAGUCUCUGUGCUGCAACAGUACAUCCUUGAUGAUCCAGUUAGAGGAGAAGGAAAAGAAAAGCAAGUCCUGGGCAUGAGUUUAGGAAAGGUAGGGGAGGGGAAGAGAGAUCAUUGAGAAUACCCUGUUGUGCCAGUUGUCAUUUAUUGUCAAAACUAGGACUGGGAGUGUGAGCAAACAGCAAGUUUCAACCCUAAGAGGGGUUCAUCAAUGGUUCAUAUCUCUGUUUGAGGAAAUCAAAAUUCAAAGGAUCACCCUGGCUAAGGAUGCCCACCAUUUCUUUCUCCAGAGUUGUGUAAUUCUGGGAGCAUGUGGCGGUAAGAUAGAGGUCCUUGGAGAACCAAGUAAAGGUCCCAAGAGAGACAGACGUGUAAUGUCGAAAUGUAAGGAAAAGAUAAAGGGAGCAAAUGAAGUAAGUACACAGAGCAGGAGUAAAACAACUUCCAAAAGAGAAGGUUCUGGUAAGCACCAGAUGGGCACAGGAGAACUCUUAUCAUUCCCUCUGGACUGAAAAGGUAGGUGGGGGGAGGGGGGUCCAAUCCUGCUACAAUUCCUGUUGCCCUGUGGUGUACUUCUACACAGCAGAGGUGGGUGCAAAAACACCAGGCUUUGGGUACCCAGAGGUCUGUGAAUUCGAAUUCACUGGCUCUUCUCAGUUUAGAUGGAGGAGUGCCUUCCCUCAGAUGAACAGUUAAGUUUCCUCAGAAGAAAAGGAGAAGUUGGGGUUAAGAACCAUCAGAAAGGUAAUAGAAUCUCUAGGGAGAGAAACACUAGACUGGCCAUCAAGAUGUUCACAGAAGCUGCUUCUGAUCAGUUUAAGGACUCCCUGGGGACCCUCACCUUGGCCAAAAGACACAGAGAAGGCACAGGAGGAUCAGGCCCCACCCAUCUGUCAGAACCUCAAUGGCCUCUUCCCGCAGAAAGGGAGAAGGAGACCCCUAGGCAGGAAGAGUGCCCUGCACAGUAGGAGGCUCAGCCUUGGACUUUUCAUUUCACCUCCUCAGCUCCGGGGAGCUUAAAAAAAUAAUAAAAAGGAGUUACUAUCCUCCCCUCCACUGCUCUCAUUAAUUCCUUCCAUCUCAUCCCCACGGGGGGUAUAUAUCCUGGUCCACUCGCGGAGAGGAGGUUAAGAGACGUGCCAGAGAAUUUUCUAGGAAACGAAGGUACCAUGGAACCAAACCCAAGAUUAAAUAGAAAACCCACCUGUGAAGCUGCGGUGAUUGUUUCUGCUGAGAAAUUACAAACCACGUGGCGGGCUAGGGGUGGGGUAGGGGCUGUGAAGGGAACUGAAUAGGAUAUGAAGGACUCAAGAAAAUCAAAUCUGAGUCCCCAAACUUAAAGAUCCGUCAACUUUUCUAGACGGCGAAGAGCAAGAGGAUGAGGCGUCGCUGGAACACCCUCCCCUUCUCGUUUUUUAAAGUCCCUGGGGUCGCGGCCGCCUCCGCGAAUGCCUGGUCUUUCCAAGAGUUUCGGGACACGAGCAAAUCCAACCUCUUCCAACUGAAAUAAUAAACACAAACUCCUCUGUGCCCCAGGGCCAGAGCA